rnacentral:lncRNA from 1 species
GGAAGGCCGACAUUCACUCAGGGUUUUCGAUCGCACGAUGUUGCCUUCUGCAGUGCUUAGUGUUUAAUCAUCGUGACCAUUUCAUUGUGACCAUUUUAGCGUUAAAAAAAAUUGAACUAGCAUUAGGUGUGUUAAAUAAGAUACUUUGUGACACGUGUACCUGUCAUUUCUUUUGUCUUACUGGAUUUGUGCUCCAAGCACAAGUGGUUACUAUACUUGCUCUCGGGGAACGGAGACAAAGAAAUCAGUCGCAGAAGAAAUUGUGUUGGCGAAACCUACAAAAUUUAUGUCUUAAAAGUUUUAAUAGCCAGUAUGUCUGCAGUGUCUUUCGUCCCAAAGUAUUCCAGCUGGUCUUUCUUAUUAGGAAGAAACUACUAGACUAACAGUUUGCGAACUUGUUUCCUCUCCAGACCCGACUAAGACUGUGUCUGGUUGGUCGCAGUUACUUGACCUUUUAAUGCUGAAUCCUUUUUUCUGAGGAAUCAGGCUAGCAGUACCUUCCUUGCCUACUUCACAGCGUUAUCAGAGCAAGUCAGAUAAUACGGGUUAAAGUGCUUGAUUAUUCAAAUGGGAUAUUUCAAAAAUAGUGGCUUUCUUGUUUUC